UUGAUAUGAGAAAUAAUAUGUUUUCCUUUUAUUUAAUUUUAUAGUGAAAAUUAUAUUACAGAUUGCAUUGGUAGUCCUUGAUCUGAUUCUUUGUAUUACAUUGUCACUAGCUCACUAUUAUAUUUUAGGAAUUUAGGUCAUUGCUUAUGCUUGCUAUAUGCCCUGGAAGUUUUGGAAUGUUUGUAUGUAACUAUGUCCUAAUUUGAAGAAACAGCCCACUAGUGAAGGAUCAACGGAUGAAUAUUUGCGAACGAACUAAAUCGAUCUACCAAAUGAUUGCCAUUACCCCCAAUUAUAUUUCAGUAUGUUUUAUUUAAUUUUUUUAAAUUCUAUUUAAAAAUUUUGUAAUUAACUAGUUUUGGGAAUGUCAUACGUGUAAUUAUUGUCCUUUAUUUAUUUUUGGAAUUGAUUUAUAA